rnacentral:tRNA from 1 species
GAGGGUAUAGCUCAGUGGUAGAGUGCAUGCCUAGCAUGCGCAAGGUCCUGGGUUCAAUCCUCAGUACCUCCA